rnacentral:rRNA from 1 species
CACGUAGGGGGCGAGCGUUGUCCGGAUUCAUUGGGCGUAAAGGGCGCGCAGGCGGCCCGGAAAGUCGGAUGUGAAAACUCGAGGCUCAACCUCGAGCGUGCACCCGAUACUGCCGGGCUUGAGGCAGGUAGGGGAGAUCGGAAUUCCUGGUGUAGCGGUGAAAUGCGCAGAUAUCAGGAGGAACACCGGUGGCGAAGGCGGAUCUCUGGGCCUGUCCUGACGCUGAGGCGCGAAAGCCAGGGGAGCAAACGGG